rnacentral:misc_RNA from 1 species
UCUCCGUAGGUGAACCUGCGGAGGGAUCACUACAGGCUUGCAAAAGCUCUGAAACCACUGUUAAUCUACCUGAAUCUGCUUCGGCGGGCAGCCCAAGGGCGGGUCCGUUUCCGCAAAACGCCAGCCGAAGACCCCUAAACUCUAUUUUUUUGAGUAUCUCUGAGUAUAAUAUUAAACAAAAAAACAACUUUCAACAACGGAUCUCUUGGCUCUG